UUGCCUUCAAUUUUUAAAAUUUCAUUCUUCAGCUGCAAAUUUCUUGUUUUGUCUUUUGAUGUUUGGUUCCACCAUCCCUUGGCUUUAACUCUGAUCGAUAUUAUGAAUAGGAAAACACUAAAAAUUAGGCAUCGAACUUGUUCCUGGAAUCUAAUAGGCGGAUUAGAUUUCACAUGUUUAGUUUUAUUUGGUUGCUAAAUUAGGUUGUUUGAACGAUUUUGUUCCAAUUUUGCAAUAUGGGAUGUGAAAUUGAAUUGGUACUAGGGAAGAUUAAUCGAUAGGUCUAUUUGGUAAAUCAAAAUCUUUCAAUUUACAUUCUAGAAAAAGAACCCUUAGAAAGUAGCAUCAAUGAGAGAGUAUUUAUGGAGAUGUUUGCUGACUAUCAUGAGUGAAAUCUCUAUUAUUUGGUAAUUACUUAUUGUGAUUUCUGAAGUUUGUCAAUGAAUCAGUUUAAAGUAAAUAUGUUUUCUCGGUUGGUUUCUGAAUCAUUUGCCAACCUGGAUAUUGCUGACAUUUGAAGUGCUUAUUUGCCACAUUUAAGCUUGGAUGCAUUUUUCUAUUACUAAGCCACACUCCAAGUCCAAACCUCCUUUAUCUAAUUUUAGGCCAUGCUAAUACCAAAAGUUUAAAUAAUCUAUCCCAAAUUUUUGUAAUCUAUUAUCCAAGUCUCCAUGUAUUGACCAGAUGAUAGCUGCAAUAUGAUCGGAGGUUAUUCUGCCCAGAACAAAAGGAUCAGUCCCUGCAUCACCCCUAAUUUUAGGCCACACGAAUACCAAAAGUUUAAAUAAUCUAUUCUAAUUUUUUGUAAUCUAUUAUUCAAGUCUCCAUGAAUUGACCAGACAAGAGAUCCUAAGGGAUUUUAGGCUUCUAGUGAAAGAGAGCAUGAAGGUUGGGUUGAGCAACUAAAAUGAGAAAAUAGUGUGUUGAUACCAAAAAAACGCACCAACGGUGAAUUUAUAUUUCUCGAGGGGGAGUAGCUCGAUGUCCUGCAAAAUGAGCAAAGUUAAACAUCAGUGUGGUGUUGAGCAAAAUUCACUCCGAUGCUUAGUUAGAAUCAAGUUUGAAUAUAUCUCAAUUGGUAGAAAAUUAGUAUAAGUUUGAGAGCAUACCCUCCUUUGAUCAUGACUAAAAAAGUAUAUAGGUUGACUAUUUGACAACUGAAGUGGGCUCGACCUUUCAGUUUCCAUGCACUAUCGGUCUUUAAUUUACCCGUUACCCAUCCGAGUCGUCAUUAUCUGAGUCGUUAUACUUAGUUUUCAAUCUGCUCGACUCUUGGGUAGAACUCUGACGCUUGGUACAUCUCUUUAAUACAGUAAUGAUUUAAUUAAUUAUUCAACUACAUGAAACAAAAAUAGACUUCUUAUUAGUUUUAAAAAUAAUUAUCUUCCUACAAAAAUCCUAUCGUAAAAUAAGUAUAAAUCAUCUAAAAAUAAUUACACCAAUCCAUGCAAAAUCCUUGUGCUUACAUUGGCCAUGCAAUUGCAUGGAUUCAAAUGUUGGUGGGAGCACAUACUUUUAUGUGCCGACUCAUGUUGGGUCAGCCUCUCAUAUUGAGUAAGGUCGACAAAUUGUUGACUUUUAUUUUAUUUUUGUACGGACCUCCUUUGAGGUCAAUUGAGCUAGGCAACCGGGCUGUCUGAGGGUUGGCCCUUCGAAAUGGAGGGUUGACAAAUUAUCGACCCUUCUUCUCAUUAUUAUUUAUUAUUUUUUCUUUUUAUUUAAUUUAUUUUCUAUCUCACACACAUAUAUUUACUAUUUUGCAUAGCUAAAAUGCAUACAUCACAACAUUGCUCCCAAAUGGCUAAAAACCAUUUAAAAGUUUAAUUGGCUAGGCCUCCUAGCUUGAGCUAUUCUCUGAGCUCAACCUGCCUUUCUUAGCUCGACUUGCUUUCAUAACUCAAUCCUCCAGCUUGACCUGCUCUCUUAGCUUAGUCUAUUGGCUCGACUUGCUUUUUUAGCUCAGAUGGGUCGAGCUAACUAAGGUAAUUUCUCAACUUGAUUACCUUUGCUCGAAUUUUGACUUUAACUUAAUUAACUAGGUUUAAUUUUAAACUCGACCGUUGCCCAUCUCUCAAAUUGGGUUGUGUAUAGCCUUUAAACGAAGGCCACCAAAAUCCACCACAUUCUAUUUUUCAUCUUUCUUCUACGAUUCCUCAAGCUAAUUUCCUACUUAGCUUAUGGAGAACAUCCAAGCCUUAGACUCUAGGAUCCAUGUGUCAAUUGAUUUUAAAGAUAUCGAUUUCGUUCCCAAUCAAAGGCCUUGAAAUUGUAUUCGAAGGGAGCGUAGAUUUCGAAAUGACGAUUUGGCUUCCCACUUUCCCUCAGUCUCUUUAACCAUAGAUAUUCUGAAUUCCCUUCGAAAUAAAUUCAGGAUUCCUAACUCGGUGCACAUGAGAAUCCAUUCCUUAGGCAAAGCAUCUAACUCGCCUUUAGGUGAAGUAGCUUUUUAUCCUGCCAUGCUCACUUAUGGAGUUAGAUUUUCACUCCAUCCUUUUAUUUAAGUAAAUGUGAUACCUUUUCAACUAUUCCAAUCUCUUAUUAUGUGUUACUAGAUUGGCACACUCUUUGACUUCAACUAGGGAACCCAAAUCCCAUUACAUCGUACUCUGAAGAAAAUAAAAUCUUCAUCUAACUCUUAUUAUGUUACUAUUCACAAAGGAAACUCCAUUAUUUCAUGUCCGAUUAGUGGCGACUGACUCACAUCAAACUGCGAAGGUCCUUUUCUGGUCCUGAUCGAGUUUCGGGCUUUUAUUAAGUUUCUCACAUGUUCGCUCGAUCGGGACCAACUUUUAUAACUUAUUAUGACAAAUUUUUUUUGCUUUGUACAAUUGAUUGCAAGACUGCCUCGACCAACGCAACUGCUACCUUCCGAGAUUCAAUUCUUUUGACUGCUCCGCUAUGGUUCGAGUUUGGUUCAACAAGAAGCCCUCGACACCUUUGUGCUCGACCUCCUAGUACAUACUGAAAUGGUUCCUUGCAAAACUAUGCGCCAAAGAAUGGAGGCCGGAUUGGGGAUUCGUGUGCGCAUUCCCAAAUUUGCUGUAACUUCUAUAGGUUCACGUGAUGGGGUCUGAUUCCAUUCAGAGUCCAUCCAACGAACCACUUUCCCAACGGCCAUGCAUUCGUACUUCUCCUUAUCACAAUAUCUCUAAUCAAACAGUGAUAAUCCCAACCCUUUCAACUGCUGAAGGAUCCAGCUCGUCCUCUCCAUAUCAUUUCGGCUUCAAUGGACCAUAUAAGUUCAAAAGUGAUAAAGCUGCAUACCUGACUCAGGCUAUGGAAUGGUCUGGUGUAAAUGAAAAAAUGCUAGUUCGAUGGCAUGCUGACUCAAGGCAUCCUACUAGUUGCUGAUGUCUUGCCAGAAGUUAAGUGACGAGAUGGAAUUUCAUAAACAAAACCAUGCGAGAUUGCGUGAGAUGGAAAUUCUCAGGCAAAAUUCUGUCUCUCGAGGGAAAUUUGACCGAGUUUCAACUUUGUAUGCUGAGACAUCCAUCAAGCUUGUCCACUCUAAAAAAUCUUUAGCGACACUUCAAUUUUAGUAUGAUGAUUCGGUCAAUGAGCUAAAAGAGAAGUUAUCCACAACUUAUACUGAACUGCAAGAAGUUCGAGCCAAUCUAUCAGAUGCAAAAUACUUGGCUGAGAGCUUCCAAGCAUACUGUCAGAUGGAGGUUGACUGCCUUUAGAAUGGGGUCACACUAGCUAUGGGCAUUGUAUAUCGACUACAACUUCGUUCAAUUUGAAGUCGAUGCUUGGCGAGACAAUGAAACCCGAGGACUUAAUAGCGUGGGUGUUUUUGCUAGCUAAGCCUUCAGUAUGGGGUCACGCUAGCUAUGAGUGGUACAUCGACUACAACUUCGUUCAAUACGAAGUCGAUGCUUGGCGAGACGAUGAAACUUGAGGUCUCGAUAGCGUGGGUGUUUUUGCUAGCCAAGCCUUGCCAACUGCUCCUCAGCAUCAACUUCACUGAUACAUUCCUCUAGUGUGUCUCAGACUUUCCUGGUUAAAAAACUUUGAUAGAGCUUGGUGACAUCAGGAAUAUAGACGAAUAAUUUUUUUGCUUUCAUUGGGCUUGCUUCUUAUUUUAUUUUAUUUUAUUUUUUUAUUAGAGCAUGUAAACUUGCUCGCGGCUCAAACUGCCAGCUUAAGCUUGGAACUUAGCUGAAUUUCAGUGUUUGUUAUGGAGCUUUGUAUCCAUCUUUUAUUCACAGCUUGAGCUCGUAGCUUGACCUUUUGAAACUUGCCCCUUUAGCUUUUACUUAUUCAAACUCGUAGCUUGCCUUUGCUUGUAGGUCGAGUUUGCAACUUGACCUAUUAGAGCUUGUAGUUUUAGCCUUUGUUUUGAGUGUUCUUUGCCCCCUUCCCUCCAUUCAUGCCUGAGUAAUUUUAUUCAUGAGAGAAAGAAUCUUGUUGCUUGAGUAUAAAUUAGAAGACUAAAAAUGCUCAUUGUAAACUUAAAAAAAGACAACUCUCAUUACUUGAAUGGAAAGAAAGUAUGAACCAAGAUGAUGCCAAUAUAGCUCGUUGUGGUAGGCGGACAUGAAACAAUGGAGUUUACUUUACUAAUAGUAACAUAAUAAGAGUCGGAUAAAGAUUUUAUUUUUUUGAGAGUAUGAAGGGACAUAGAUUCCUUUAUGAUAAUGGAUUUGGGUUCUCUAGUUGAAGUCAAAGAACGUAACAACCUAGUAACACAUAGUAAGAGUUUGGAAAUUGUUGAAGAGGUGUCACGUUUACGUAAGGUAGAAAUUGUUGAAUAAAAGGAUGGACUGGAGGCCUAACUCUAUAGGUGAACAUGGUAGGAUAAAAAGCUACUCACCUAAAGGCGAGUAAGAUGGAUCCUCGCCUAAGGAAGGGAUUCUCAUGUGCACCGAGUCAGAAAUCCUAAAUUUAUUUCUAAAGAAAUUUAGAAUAUCUAUGGUUAAGGGACCCGAGGAUGGAAAAUGGGGAGCCAAAUCAUUAUUUCGGAAUCCACGCUCCCUCCGAAUACAAUUUCGAGGCCUUUGAUUGGGAACGAAAUUGAUAUCAUUGGAGUUAGUUGACACAUCGAUCCUAAAGUCUAAGGCUUGGAUGUUCUCCAUGAACUAGAAUAAGCUAAGUAGGAAAUUACCUUUAGGAAUAGUGGAAGAAAGAUGAAAAAUAGAGUGGUGGAUUUUGGUGGCCAAGUGAAUCCUUUUUAUAAGAAAAUUUGGCACGAAAAACAAAGAAAAGUUUUACCAAGACCAAGCUGAAGUAACGGAUGCCUUUGAAGUUUGAGAAAGAAUUCUCGAGCCUCGUUUAAAGGCUAUGCACAAUCCGGUUCGAGAGAGGGACAACUGUGGAGGGUAAAAUUAAACAUAAUUAAUUGAGUUAAAGUCAAGAUUUGGGCAAAGGUAAUCGAGUUGAGAAGUGACCUUAAUUGACUCGACCCAUUUGAGCUAAGAAAGCAAGUCGAGCUAAGAGAGCAGAUUGAGCUAAGAAAGAGAAAUCGAGCUUAGAGAAUAGCUCAAGCUAGGAGGUUGAGCCAAUUAGCUUUUAAAUGACUUUUAACCAUUUGGGAGCAACGUUGUUGUGUAUGCAUUUUGGCCAUGCAAAAUAGUAAAUAUAUAUAUGUAUAUACAUGUGUGAGAGAAAAUAAAUUAAAUAAAAAGAAAAAAAAAUAAUAAUGAGGGUUGCCGACCCUCCAUUCUGAAGGGCCAACCUAUGAGGGUUGGCAAGGCAGCCCGGUUGCCUAACUCAAUUGACCUCAAAGGAGGUUAGUACGACAAAAGAAAAAAAAGAAAGAAAGAAGCAAGGAGGAGCUCGACCAUUUGUCGACCCCACUUGCUAUGAGAGGCUGACCCAACAUGGGUCAGCACAUAAAAGUUGCCAGCCCUGAAUCCAUGCAAUUGCAUGGCCUAGGUAAGCCAUGCACAAGGAUGUGCAUAGAUUAAUAUAAUUAUACUAAUUUUUUACCAAUUGAGCUAUAUUCAAACCUGAUUCUAAUGCAUUGGAGUGAAUUUGGCUCAACACCACACCGGUAUUUAGCUUUUCUCAUUUUGCGGUAUACCGAGCUACUCUCCUGUUCGUUGAUUUCGUGAUUCGAGCUUAGGAGUGUAUUGUAUAAAAUAAUUGGAAAAAUAAGUGUAAAUGUGAAUGAUGCGUUGAUGCGUUUAUGAUACGUUUGUGAUGCGUUAGUGACGCGUUGAUGCGUUAAUGAUGUGCAACAGGACGCAUGACACUCCUCUAUAACGUCAAGUUUUUCUGACUCAAU